rnacentral:rRNA from 1 species
CAGCUAAGUGGCGCACGGGUGAGUAAUGUAUAGAUAACCUGCCCUUAAGAAAGGAAUAACAGUUGGAAACGACUGCUAAUGCCCUAUAUGCCUUUAAUACAUAAGUAUGCAAGGGAAACGCUUUGGUGCUUAAGGAUGGGUCUGUAUGGUAUCAGCUUGUUGGUGAGGUAAUGGCUCACCAAGGCUAUGACGCCUAACUGGUUUGAGAGGAUGAUCAGUCACACUGGAACUGAGACACGGUCCAGACUCCUACGGGAGGCAGCAGUGGGGAAUAUUGCACAAUGGACGAAAGUCUGAUGCAGCAACGCCGCGUGGAGGAUGACACAUUUCGGUGCGUAAACUCCUUUUAUAUAGGAAGAUAAUGACGGUACUAUAUGAAUAAGCACCGGCUAACUCCGUGCCAGCAGCCGCGGUAAUACGGAGGGUGCAAGCGUUACUCGGAAUCACUGGGCGUAAAGAGCGUGUAGGCGGGUAUAUAAGUCAGAAGUGAAAUCCAAUAGCUCAACUAUUGAACUGCUUUUGAAACUGUAUACCUAGAAUGUGGGAGAGGUAGAUGGAAUUUCUGGUGUAGGGGUAAAAUCCGUAGAGAUCAGAAGGAAUACCGAUUGCGAAGGCGAUCUACUGGAACAUUAUUGACGCUGAGACGCGAAAGCGUGGGGAGCAAACAGGAUUAGAUACCCUGGUAGUCCACGCCCUAAACGAUGUACACUAGUUGUUGUGAGGCUCGACCUUGCAGUAAUGCAGUUAACACAUUAAGUGUACCGCCUGGGGAGUACGGUCGCAAGAUUAAAACUCAAAGGA